rnacentral:rRNA from 1 species
UACGUAGGGGGGCAAGCGUUGUCCGGAUUUAUUGGGCGUAAAGAGCGUGUAGGCGGCCACACAGGUCUGCUGUGAAAAACUCGAGGCUCAACCUCGAGCUGUCGGUGGAAACCGUGUGGCUAGAGUCCGGAAGAGGAGAGUGGAAUUCCCGGUGUAGCGGUGAAAUGCGCAGAUAUCGGGAAGAACACCCCGUGGCGAAGGCGGCUCUCUGGUACGUGACUGACGCUGAGGAGCGAAAGCGUGGGGAGCAAACAGG